AGAAGAUUCUAGCUGUUCAGGGUCUGUGAGGAGGAGUCAAGGUCUGGGGUUUGUGUCCUCUGGCAUAGCAAUGGCACUGCAAUGGGGGAGCCUGUUGCUGGGCUGGGCCAUCUCGCCACUGUCACCUGCCUGUUGAGGGGUGACGGUGGUUGUUGAGAGGCUGGAUCAGACCCCAGAGGUGACAUGGAUGUGGCAUAUUUGUUGGACUUACACAGCCUUGCAUUUUAUUUUCAUCUCUGUUCCUUCCUCCCAUGAGAUCUUGGGUGGUGUUUAUCAACCCUGAGUAAUCGUUUCUUUGUCUGCAAGAUGGAAUAAAAAGGCCUACCUCAUUGGGCUCGUGUGGGUGAGGAGAACUGAAGAGUCUGAGAGCGCGGCACGAGCCAGAGGCUACGGAAAACACUGCCCUCCUACACUCCACCUUGGAGAGACCCAGAAAAGAACAAGCUUCAUUUGUAAAAAAGGAAAACAACUCAGGCAAUGGGGGUGGCUUAAAUAUUGUGAAACCAGCAACUUGUUCACAAUUCUUCUGAAUUUCUUGGGAAAUUUGAAGUGGAGUACCUGUACCAACAUGAAAUGACACGAAUUUAAGUGACGCUCAACAACGAAAAGCAAAAAGAACCAAAGAGGAAGCAACUGAAACAACAUCUGGAUGUAUUUAAAAAUAUACAAUGCCUCCAAAAUCAGGUGUCAUUAAUGAAAAUUCUGAAGAAAUGCCACCGGACAUAGCCAACGCACCUACGCUGUUGUUAUUCAUUUCCUGCUUUUCACAGAAAACAAUUUUGUUGCAUGGAAGAUCGUGAACUUCAAAGGGCAGAGGGGAAACUGUCCCUUGGCCUCUACCCCUCCAAGGCCCCACUUUUUUGUCAACACUCCUUGGACGCAGCAGAAGUAUGAACAUAAUAUGGUCCUGAAUGAGGCUGAGUCUUUGGGCGCAGAAGACCCGGGUUAAUAAAAAUAGGAAGGUAAGAAAAGAAAAGAAAAAUCAAGACACAUCAUAGGACUAAAUUCCUAUUAUUUAUCCACUCAGGAUUGACCACCCCUUUGGGCCAGAUAGUUGUACCCCCAUGUACCAGGUGGGCACAUGAAGACACAAGAAGUGCUGUGAUGGUUCAUUUUGCACGUCACCUUGCGUGGAGUAUGCCAACUCAUUGUUUGGUCAAACACUAGUCUGGACAUGGUGGUAAAGGUAUUUUUUAGAUGAGAUUAACACUUAAAUCAGUAAAGCAGGUUACCCACCAUACUACGGGUGGGCCCUGUCCAAUCAGUUGAAGGCAUUAAGAACAAAGAUUGAGGUUUCCUAAAGAAGAUGGAAUUCUCCUUGAGACUACAACAUAGAAACCCUAUCUGAGUUUCCAGCCUGUUGCCCUGUGGAAUUCAAACUCAGGACUCCGGUCUAUGACAUUAACCCUCACUUAACUUUUCAGCCUGCCAGCCUGCCCUAUGGAUUUCGGACUUGCCAGCCACACAAUUCCUUAAAAUAAAUCUCUCCGUCUCUGU
rnacentral:lncRNA from 1 species